CCCCGGCCGGGUCUUGGGAGCCCCACUCUGCUCCCCGCCGGCCCCAGCGCGGUAGCGGAGAACCCGGAGGAGCCGCCCGGGGCUCCGCCGGCCCGGAGAACUCCGUGAAGAAGUGUGGAAAACGCUGCCGUGUGCUGCUCCAAAUUAACGGUGCGAAAUGCUGCCUGAUCUCUUUAAAAGGUAGUAACGCUAGAAGAGGUUAAACACUUGACAGUCAACAGCCGUCCGAUCGACUAUCUGGAGGCACUUCAUGCAGCCGAUGAGGCCCCCGCGCAAAACGCCUCAGGAAACGGGCAGAUUUUAUCUAAACUAAGGUAUCUCUGCACCUCUCUGCGGAGCCUCGUAUCACGAGAGAAACUUCUCCUGAAUAUAUUUUAUACAAAGACCACAUAAGUAUUCACCGGAUCUCACAGUAGAACAGACAAGACGCAUCAGCUGUUCAAUAGUUAUUGGGAUUUUUUCUCAGUGACGAUGAAGGUGCAGCUCACCCAUGGCCCCACACUGUUAACUUGAAGCAGCAGCGGUGAAAUGCUGCAGCUACAGCCCACCAUACCAUGGCCAUCCAAAGCCCUUAUGCUGAGUUUGUGUACCAUUUUUGUACCAUUUUGCUGUUGCUCAGUAAAUAGCUUGGUGAGGAAACCUUCUGCUGGCACUUCUUACUUGCAGUUCCUGUCUGGUCACUUUUCAAUUCAUCUGUCAUAAAAUGCAGAAGAACUUCUUUUGUUUAUGAGAACAACUUCUCAUUCUUUACUCUCAAACUUUUCCAACUUGAAAGUCUCCUCCAUUCAGUAAAUGGAUAACAGUCUCAAAGCAGAUUCAUAGCGCCAUUGCUACUGGGUCCCCAUGCCGUGUGUUUUUGCCAUUCUCAAUCUCUUAUUUUUUCCCAAAAAUAAAUAUUUGGAAAAAGUUGAGAGUGGGGAAAAAAUUAAAAAAUCAACCUAUGAUCCCUUUUCCUCUCUCCUCACUUAAAACCUCCCUACGGUAGCCAAGAUUUGCUCCUUAAGAACUGCACUCUUCAGAACUAAAUGAUGAUGCCAACUCCACGAACUUGCUGCAGUUGGAUUCAUGGACCAUAAAGCUACAGGCUGCCAGGGUUACUGAAGAAAUCUUAUUCUCCUCCUGCUCAGAACAGAAGUUUACUAUUCAAAGUUUACCAACAACAGGGGGAGAAACAUGUAACCAUGUGUCAGAUUAGAAUUCAAGAAUCGACCUGGAGAAAGGGCAGGAGUUGAUGCAUACUUCUCCCUUCACACAGGAUCAUUAACGUGCUUUUGCUGAUAAGCCUGUGUGUCUCUGGGACAAAAGCUGUCUUUGAGGCACGUGUUACCAUCCUGUAGCCGCAAGGCCUGUAAAAUCACCAAAAAAAAUAAACCACCUCUUUCCGGAGAGCCGCACCUGCCCCUACUAAGUCAAACCAGAUUCAUCUCUUCAGUAUGUAACAGUGCACCAACACACGUCCCAGCAGGAAAUUAAUUUCCCAAACCCAGACCAUUUCCUAGCAGCCAAAGAGAAGACUAACGAUGGAAUUUCAUAUAUUCACAUAUUUUUCAAGAAGGGGGAGAAGGACAAG